AUAUAUAUGUAUAUACACAUACAGGCAGCAAAUGGCAUGAUGAAUAAAAUAGUACCUCAUAUCUCAAUACUAACAUUGAAUGUAAAUGGCCAAAAUGCUCC